UUCUGGGAGCACUGUAGUAGAGAGUUCGAUCAUGGCUCAGAUUGAAACGCUGGUGGAGCUGCUUUACAGAUGCAAGCCGAAAACGCAGCACGGACUUCGGCCUGGUGGCGAGGGCGAACGGGUGAGUAAUGUAUCGGAACGUGCCUAGUAGCGGGGAUAAUCACGCGAAAGCGUUUAAUAAUGUGCGCGUCAUUCUUCGGGGAAAGCGGGGGACCUUUCGGGCCUCGUACCAUUAGAGCGGCCGAUAUCGUGGAUUAGCUGAAGGUGGGGUAACGGCUCACUAAGGCGACGAUCCGCAGCUGGUUUGAGAGGACGACCAGCCAUUAAUUGGACCGAGACACGGCCCAGACUCCACGGGAGGCAGUGAAUUCCUGGACAAUGGGGAAACCCCGAUCCAGCCAUCUCGCGUGUGCGAUGGGUUGGGCCUUCGGGUUGUAAAAGCAUUGGGCAGGAAAGAAACGGCACGGAGCACACUUCAACCGGACGGUACCUGCAGAAUAAGCACCGGUUAACCACGCCAGCAGCCGCGGUAAUACGUAGGGUGCGUUAAUCGGAAUUACUGGGGCGGCGUGCAGGCGGUUCGGAAGAGAUGAAAUCCGGAGCUAACUUUGGAACUGUAUUAACUACCGAGCUAGAGUGUGUCAGAGGAGGGUGGAAUUUUGUGUAAAGAAAGAAAUGCAGAUAUGCGGAGGAACACUGAUGGCGAAGGCAGCUUCCUGGGAUAACACUGACGCCCGGCGCACGCAGGCGUAGAUAAACAGGAUUAGAUACCUUCUGGUAGUCCACGCCUAAACGAUGUCAACUAGCUGUUGGGGCCUUCGGGCCUGGUAGCGCAGCGCCAACGCAUGGUUGACCGCCUGGGGAGUACGGGUCGCAGAUGAAACUCAAAGGAAUUGACGGGACCCGCACAAGCGGUGGACGAUGUGGAUUAAUUCGACAACGCGAAAACUUUACCUACUCCGGACAUGUCUGGAAUCCCGAAGAGAGAUUUGGGAGUGCCGCAAGAGAACCGAAAUACAGGUGCUGCAUGGCUGUCGUCAGCUCGUGUCGUGAGAUGUUGGGUUAAGUCCUGCAACGAGCGCAAACCUUGGUCAGCGAAGUUGUUGAUGAAAGGGCAACGCAAUUUCAUUGACUGCUGCGUGACAAACCGAGGAAGGUGGGGAUGACGCCGAGUCCCCGCGUCUGGUGGUGGUCUUCGCAUCGUCAUAUGUGUUACGACAGAGGGUCGCCAACUUUAUGAGAGCCAAUCCCAGAAACCCGAUCGUAGUCCGGAUCGCAGUCUGGCAACUGACUGCGUGGAAGUCGGAACGUUGGGGUAAUCGCGGAUCAGCAUGUCGUUCCGGUCUUACACACCGCCCGUCACACCAUGGGAGGUGGGAAGGUGACCAGAAGGUAGCAACAACCGGGUAAGGAUAAGCGAUUACUACGGUAGGGAUUCAUGACUGGGGUAAGCUGCAAUAGCGC
rnacentral:rRNA from 1 species